CUCAUUGGCAGCCGUGGUGUUUCCAUUUCUAAUACUGUUAGGGUGGCUAGAUUAGACAGAUUCAGGCAUGGGCCAACUUCGGCCCUCCAGGUGUUUUGGGCUUCAACUUCCACAUACCUUCCAAUGGAUGACAUACAGCCUUCUUGCGAUUGCACUGGUGUGGCUUUGUUGCUUGUUUUUAUAGUUUAUACUAGCUGUACCCGGCCACACGUUGCUGUGGCGAAGUAUGGUGGUAUGGGAAAUAAAGUAUUGAGGAAUUGGUGGUAGUUAAGGUAAAGGGUCCCCUGGGCUGAGUGGGUUGCUUAGGAGACCAAGUGAGCGGAGCUUAGCCUUCUAACUGGCAGCAAUUGGAUAAAAACAAUUAUUCCUCUCCCUCUAAUUAGGACUUUAUUUUUCUUUUCUUUUUGUUGUAUCAACCUAGAGGCAUGGAUGAGGGGUUGUGCUGUCAAUUUUCGAGGUUGUGAGGUGUUUACUUUUGUUGUUUUGUCCGCUGCCGUGAUGCCAUCACUCUUUUAUAUAUAUAGAUUUGUACUGUGUUUGUAAUUUUAAUUGUUUUUAUGUCUCCCUUUCUUUCUUCUCCUCCCAUAAUCCGUUACUGCCAUUUAUGCAGACUAAGUUCAAUGUGCCAAACUAGUUUACACUCAGUUAACUCAGCAGGAGAGAGAAGUGAGGAAGGGUGCAAUUUUACACUUCCCAGUAGACUUGGGCAAAAGCAAACUGCUGCAGCCUUUCUCCGCUUGUGUGAUCUUUCUCAAGAACUGCUUUUGCCGUCUUGAUUAUGUGAGGGAAUAUGAAAUAAAGACUCCAUAUUGCAAUGAGUUCACUGGAAAGGGUUGCUAUGGCGACAGCUGCUUGGCUGAGCUAGCCAGCAUUCUGAUUGGUUGCUGCCUCUGGCUUGGCAGAAGCAGACCAACGGUUUUUCUAACUGACAUUACAAUUUCAUAUCUUGCUCUUCUGGAGAGUGGAGAAAAGAAGCUGACAGGAAUUUUUGAUCAGGAAUGUAAUGGCUGUGGUGCUUUCCAAAGUUUGACUAUUUAAAGAAGAGAUGAGGCAUAUUUAAAAGGACUGUUGCAUAUUGUUGCCCUAUAUAUGUGUUUGAACUCUUGAACCUGAAUAAAGGGCAUAGGAACACCACUCUCAAUCUAAUCCACCCUCUCAUUUUUGGCAGUUGUAAGUGCUGCAAACACUUGUCUGUAACUCAUUGAUCAGUAAGCCCCACCAUAAUGUUAUUGUUUUAUUCAAGCCUACAUGACAGCCUUCUUACACAGCAGAGUUUAUUUUGAUUUAAAGAUGGUGAUAAAGCUUCCGUUUACAUUUAUAUUUUACAUAACCCCGCAACAUAUAACAUUCUGAUGUUGCUUGGCCAAAUGUGUCCCAGUUUUCAUCUGAAAUGUUAAAAGUAUGGGCAGCAGCAGCAAUAUAUGGAUAUAGACAAGCACUUGUGGGAAUGGCAGCAACUCCUAUGCCAGUUAGAGUUGACAUGUUACUCAAUUACCUGGGUUUUAUCUGGAUUCUAGGACUCUAGGAUUCAUCUUUCUCCCAUAUCAAUUGACACAAUCAGCUAGCCUGGAAACAGUCUUUUUACUCUCACAUACCUUACCUGCUUAUUGCUUUUUCUCUUACAAGGUUGUUUCUAUUUUAAUCUCUCUCUGCACCAUGGUGUUUCCAUUUCUCAUUCCACCGGUUCUUUCAUGACUGAUAGUAGAGUCUCACUUAUCCAACAUUCACUUAUCCAACGUUCUGGAUUAUCCAAUGCAGUCUGCCUUUUAGUAGUCAAUGUUUUUGUAGUCAAUAUUUUCAAUACAAUGUGAUAUUUUGGUGCUAAAUUCGUAAAUACAGUAAUUACUACAUAGCAUUACUGCGUAUUGAACUACUUUUUCUGUCAAAUUUGUUGUAUAACAUGGAUUUCGAACUCUGGCUCCUUCUCUUCUCCAUCUUGGCUUAAUUUCAGCUCUGCAUUUGAACAUUUACUUGCUACUUUAAGCUGCUGUGUUUGAAAGAAUAAAAUAAAUAUCUGCAUGGAAUUUCAUAUGUAGACUCAGCAAAAUAAUUACUGGUGUGUUUUUCUUUACCAGAUUGGAUUACUUACUUUUUAAACAUUUGUAUUCUUUUUCUCGUAUUUUGAAACGGCUUGUGCAGAGAUGGAGCAUAUUAGUAUUAGUCUUAAGUUAUGCAUAGGAUAAUUUGUUUCCAACAUGAUAUCAUUCUUACCAGAUGCACAGGUAUAUCGCCUGUUACAGAAUAUGAAUGAGAAGGGUUCUCCAUUAUGAAAGUAAGGAGUGACUCCUCUGGACCAUGUUAUCAGGGCACUUGGUGGGUGCCUGAAUUCUUGUUUUUGUUUUUGCACAUACAUAGUACAACAUGAAAUAAGGUUUGUAUGCACAGCUAGGAUGCAAAGAGAUAACUUGGUCUGUUGCAACUUAAAAAAUGAAGGAAGAAUCUUUUACGUGUUUUUAGCUUUGUAUAAUAUUUUUAUUAAGUAUUUAAUUGAUGUAACUGUGUUGUUUGAUUUUAUUGAAUUCUGUUUUGGGCAUUGAAUUUUGCCAUCUCCCGUAAGCCGCCUUGAGUCCCUUCGGGUGAGAAAGGCGGGGUAAAAAUGUUGUAAAUAAAUAAAUAAGAAUCUAGCAGCCCUAUUAAAACUGAUUAAUCUCAUGGAUUUCAACUUGCUUGCUCGAAUAUACUGAUGAAAUUAAUACGAAACAUCAAGUAUAUUGACAUUUACAUACUGCUUAUUGAUGAUGCAUUAGAAUGGUUUUAGCUGGGGCUGUACAUGACAAGUAACAGUACUUCUUUGUCUUGGAUCUGAACAGAUAUAAGAGGCAUGUGUAACAGUCAGUGGGAUUCCAAUAUAGCACGGUGCUUAGAAAUACUCUGUACAGUAGUGCGAGCUGACAGUUUCUAAACUACCGUAUUUGCAAAUGACAUUUGAUACACAGGUCUUUUGGCAAGCUAAGUGCAUAUGUCAGUAUUAUACAUAUGAUUACAGAGGAGUAGAUUUAGCAUCUAUCUAUAUAUAUUUAUAUUUUACACACCAUAUUUGUUUGAUACAGUGCAGGAAAUCCAUAUUGUCCAUCUCAUUAUCUGAAACACGUGCAAGCUGUUACAUAAAUUCUUCCUCCUGUGACUUUAUGACUGUCAAUCCCCCAGUCUCAGGUUUUAUAUCUGAAAUUUCAGAGAAUGGGAAGCUAUCGUCUGGAUAUCCCUGAAUUGAAUGGAAGAAAAAGUGGAGGCAGGACAAGUGCAGAAAGUCCAUAAUGAACUUGAUGUUGUCAAAGAUGAAUAUUUCCAUCACAAGAUUCAAUAAAAAUUGUAUCCAAUUGUUCUGGAAGUUCUGCAAAGCCUUUAGAAGUAUCCAUGACAACAGCCUGAAGAUGGCCAAAAUUACCUGAUUUCUCUGGUUCAAGCCUUUGAAGAAUCACUGACACCGAAGAUUCCCAGUUUACAAUUCAUCUUGUCAUGUACUUCAAUACCCUAUUGAAUGUAUAUAGUUUAAAAAAUCUUUCUGUCAUAGUGGUGUUCUGACCUGAUACUACCUCCUUUUUUUGUAAAUUUGCCGUUUAUCUUUUGUUUUGCUGUUCGUUGAGAGUAGCCUAGCUUUUGUUUCCUAUGUCAAAAUGCCAUCACGUUUCAAGUGAUUGUAUCUAUAGUGUGAUUUUUGUUUACAUAGUGUAAAUUUGAUCAUUAUUGAAUUUUUGCAAAAUGAUUUCUAGUUAUUUUCUUCCUAUAAACCCAGCUUUUCAGGGAAGGCACAGUAGAAAUAAAGUACCAUAACACAGUACAAUAUUUUGGAGAUAAGUAAUCAAGUUUGACAGAUUAUAUCUAUACAGAACAUACAGGGUUUAUGUAUGCUCAUUUCAAUAUAACGCAUACAGUCUUUACAAAUCAUCUAUUCAGAUUACAGAAGGUACUCUCACCUUCCCUUUACACAUGUUGAAUAUCUCCCAAUAGUGACCUUCCCAAAUUACCACAAGUUACACCACCAUGAUCUUGUUGCUGGUGAAGAGAGCUGCUCUUUUAUGUCCUGUUCUCAAGUAUAACCCAGCUCCCAAUAGCCUGACAAAGAGGGGCAAGAUAAGAUUGAAGUCUCCCUCUUCACAAACAACUCUCAUAACAAUAUUAUAUUAGUAUACAUAUUAGGGAACAUGAGGUAUUCUUGGUUAGAGUAGAGAGGGCUGUCCUGGAUGAGGAACAUAAAAGGGAACUCAAGUACCAAACACUGGAGGAAGACAUUUGGAGGAUUUGGACACAAAGGGUGAAGGAUCAUUCUGGAGUUUGAGGUACAGAAUCAAUUAAAAUUCCCCCCAUUAUCAGAGACAAUGAAGAACAGAUGGUGCCACCAUGAAUGAUUUGGGUUCUUGAACUGUAUGAUCAUAAUACAAUUGGCCUUAGGGAAUCCCAAGCCACACCUUUCCUUAGCGUCAUGCAGGGCUUUAAAUUUUACUGUGGAUUUCUUUGCCUGACAGACAAAUCUGGAAAUCUAUUUUUAUGCAAGUGCAUAAAUGUAUUCCAUUCUUAUAAUAGGGGGCAACUGAAAGAGAAAUAAAGAACUCGGCAUUUGCUUUUAUUACUGCAAUUCUACCCGAAAGAGGUAAAAUUACAUUUCCCCUUUUUUCUAAGUCUCUUUCAAUUUCUUUCCAGAGUUUUUCAUAGUUGUUUUGAAAUCAUAAGCAGAUGUUCUUUAUAAUUAUAACUCCCAAAUAUUUAAACCCCUUUUUCCAUUUCAGAAUUUGAAAGUGCAUGGAAUUCAUUACCCCUGUCUGAGAUGAUACUUUAGUCGACAAAUUUGUUUUGCCACAAUUUACUUUAAACCUGGAGAAUGUUCCAAAUGUUGUUGUUUUUUCAGGAGAGCCCGUGGGUUUUGUGUUAUUAUCACAAGAUCAUCUGCAUAAACUCCCAGCUUGUACAGUUCUUUUUUUUUUAACCCUCCCCUAUACAACAUUUUCUAAUAUCUCUCAGCAGGGUUUCCAGCAUCAAAAUAAAAAGUGAAAGUGAGACAGGUCAUUCUUAUUUGCUGUCCUUUUAGGUUUUAAUCUAUCACGUUGCACUGACACUUACUAAAAUCAGGGCCCUUUGAACUGAGUCCAUUCUCUAUAUCCCUAUUUACUUACUCUUUGAGACAGUUUUCCUGUCUCAACCUAUUGGAAAGCCACUUCCCAUGUUUGCUUUCAGAUUCACAAAUCUUUUGUUUAAAGUAUAAUCAUUUUGCAUUCUGUUUUUAGACUGUAAACAAUAAAUACUGUUGUGAAGUAAAAUAA